UACAGAGGCCUCAAGCGUUGUUCGGAAUUACUGGGCGUAAAGGGUGUGCAGGCUGCGCCGAUAGUCUGUUGCGAAAACUUCAGGCUCAACCUGAAUCCCGCAAUCGAAACUUCUGCGCUAGAGGUUCAAAGAGGGAAUUGGAAUUCACGGAGUAGCAGUGAAAUGCGUAGAGAUCGUGAGGAACACCAAAGGCGAAGGCAGAUUCCUAGUUAAAACCUGACGCUCAAACACGAAGGCCAGGGUAGCAAACGGG
rnacentral:rRNA from 1 species